rnacentral:rRNA from 1 species
GGUCGACCCGCUGAACUUAAGCAUAUCAAUAAGCGGAGGAAAAGAAACUAACAAGGAUUCCCUUAGUAACGGCGAGUGAACAGGGAAAAGCCCAUAACCGAAUCCUGCAGCUUACGCUGCUAGGAAAUGUGGUGUUUGGUUCGUUCCUUACGACGUACUGGAGGUGUUGUAAGCUCACGUGAUUGUGGCUUCAAGCCCACAGAGGGUGUAAGGCCCGUAACAACAAUACAGUACGCCCUUGGGAAUGUUCCUAGAGUAGGGUUGUUUGGGAAUGCAGCCCAAAUCGGGUGGUAAACUCCAUCCAAGGCUAAAUACAACACGAGUCCGAUAGCGAACAAGUACCGUGAGGGAAAGUUGAAAAGGACUUUGAAGAGAGAGUUCAACAGUGCGUGAAACCGCUCAGAGGUAAACGGGCAGAGCUGAAGGAGAAUUGGUACAUUUGUGCUUUCCAUGUUACAUGGACUGCGUUUGAGAACCUCAACGUCUCGGCGUAGCCUGUGCCUAUAUGGGUUGUGCUGUUGUACCUUUUCGACACCACGAUCGGUAAAUAGAUCGGCCUGCUAUUUAUGGAAGAUGGCCACCACUUCGGUGUUGGUUUUAUAGCCGUUUAUUGCAGCGUCGAUUGAAUACUGUUGCAUAACGAUGCGGUGUAUAAGAUGCGAGUUGGUGUUGGGCUGUAGUGGCGACUCCUCGAGACGUCAUUGCAUGUUUGAUGCUAGCUUGUGUCCUCUGUAUGCCGUAUCACUAAUCAGUGGUGAUAAUGUAGGCAUUCUGCCUGACCCGUCUUGAAACACGGACCAAGGAGUUUAACAUGUGCGCGAGUCAUUGGGUCAUACGAAACCUAAAGGCGCAGUGAAAGUAAAGGCUUGUCCUGGAUAAGUCAAGGUAGGAUCCUGGUUUCAUUGUGUGGCAACACACAUGGGCUGGGCGCACUACCAGCUCGUCCCAUGCUUUAUGAAGCGGGGCGACGCAAGAGCGCACAUGCUGAGACCCGAAAGAUGGUGAACUAUGCUUGCGUAGGUUGAAGCCAGAGGAAACUCUGGUGGAGGACCGUAGCGAUUCUGACGUGCAAAUCGAUCGUCAAACGUGAGUAUAGGGGCGAAAGACUAAUCGAACCAUCUAGUAGCUGGUUCCCUCCGAAGUUUCCCUCAGGAUAGCUGGCACUCGGGAAACAAACAGUUUUAUCCGGUAAAGCGAAUGAUUAGCAGUAUUGGGGAUGAAAUAUCCUCAACUGAUUCUCAAACUUUAAAUGGGUGAGAAGCUCAACUCACUUGAAUAUGGAGUUGAGCACUGAAUGUGAGUGCCCAGUGGGCCAUUUUUGGUAAGCAGAACUGGCGCUGUGGGAUGAACCAAACGUUUGGUUAAGGAGCCUAACACAACGCUCAUGAGACACCACAAAAGGUGUUGGUUGAUUUUGACAGCAGGACGGUGGCCAUGGAAGUCGGAAUCCGCUAAGGAGUGUGUAACAACUCACCUGCCGAAUCAACCAGCCCUGAAAAUGGAUGGCGCUGGAGCGUUGGUCCUAUACCAAACCGUUACCGCGAGUUGCAUAGUAUGCGGUAACGAGUAGGAGGGCGCCGUGGUGAGCAUAGAAGCCUAGGCCGUGAGGCUGGGUGGAGCCGCCACGGGUGCAGAUCUUGGUGGUAGUAGCAAAUAUUCAAGUGAGAACCUUGAAGACUGAAGUGGAGAAGGGUUC